GAUGAACGCUAGCUACAGGCUUAACACAUGCAAGUCGAGGGGAAACGACAUCGAAAGCUUGCUUUUGAUGGGCGUCGACCGGCGCACGGGUGAGUAACGCGUAUCCAACCUGCCCAUCACUUGGGAAUAACCUUGCGAAAGUAAGACUAAUACCCAAUGAUAUCCCACGAAGGCAUCGGAAUGGGAUUAAAGAUUUAUCGGUGAUGGAUGGGGAUGCGUCUGAUUAGCUUGUUGGCGGGGUAACGGCCCACCAAGGCAACGAUCAGUAGGGGUUCUGAGAGGAAGGUCCCCCACAUUGGAACUGAGACACGGUCCAAACUCCUACGGGAGGCAGCAGUGAGGAAUAUUGGUCAAUGGGCGAGAGCCUGAACCAGCCAAGUAGCGUGCAGGAAGACGGCCCUAUGGGUUGUAAACUGCUUUUAUAAGGGAAUAAAGUGGGUCACGUGUGACUUUUUGCAUGUACCUUAUGAAUAAGGACCGGCUAAUUCCGUG
rnacentral:rRNA from 1 species